rnacentral:rRNA from 1 species
AAGCUCGUAGUUGAAUUUCGGGGUUAGUAGGUUGGUCAUGCCUCUGGUAUGUACUGGUCUCACUGAUUCCUCCUUCCUUAUGAACCGUAAUGCCAUUAAUUUGGUGUUGCGGGGAAUUUGGACUGUUGCUUUGAAAAAAAUUAGAGUGUUUAAAGCAAGCUAACGCUUGAAUACAUUAGCAUGGAAUAAUGAAAUAGGACGUUCGAUCUUAUUUUGUUGGUUUCUAGGAUUGACGUAAUGAUUAAUAGGGAUAGUUGGG